CGAUGAAGGAAACAUCUCUGCAAAGUCUGCUCACAGUACAGAAGAAAAUAUGACUGACUGAUGAAGAAUUGAUGUGUUUAUGAAAACUCAAACCAACAUUUCCUCUUUAGUUCUGAUCUCACUGCUGAGCUGCACAACAAACCAAGCUCGUCUGACUGUGAGUCCCAGCAGCUCUCAGUUCUUUAAAGGAGA